GAUGAACGCUGGCGGCGUGCCUAAUACAUGCAAGUCGAGCGAACAGACGAGGAGCUUGCUCCUCUGACGUUAGCGGCGGACGGGUGAGUAACACGUGGAUAACCUACCUAUAAGACUGGGAUAACUUCGGGAAACCGGAGCUAAUACCGGAUAAUAUAUUGAACCGCAUGGUUCAAUAGUGAAAGACGGUUUUGCUGUCACUUAUAGAUGGAUCCGCGCCGCAUUAGCUAGUUGGUAAGGUAACGGCUUACCAAGGCAACGAUGCGUAGCCGACCUGAGAGGGUGCUCGGCCACACUGUACCUGAGACACGGUCCAGACUCCUACGGGAGGCAGCAGUAGGGAAUCUUCCGAAAUGGGCGAAAGCCUGACGGAGCAACGCCGCGUGAGUUAUGAAGAUCUUCGGAUCGUAAAACUCUGUUAUUAGGGAAGAACAAAUGUGUAAGUAACUAUGCACGUCUUAACGGUACCUAAUCAGAAAGCCACGGCUAGCUACGUG
rnacentral:rRNA from 1 species